CAGCGCCACAAGUGGCAAUCGCAGUUAUUGGGCCUAAAGCGUCCGUAGCAGGUUUCAUAAAUCUUUUGUGAAAUUGCCAGGCUUAACCUGGCAGUGUGCAGAAGACACUGUGAGACUCGAGACCGGGAAGGGUAAGAGGUAUUCCUGAGGGAGCGGUAAAAUGCUAUAAUCUCAGGAGGACCACCUGUGGCGAAGGCGUCUUACUAGAACGGAUCUGACUGUGAGGGACGAAAGCUAGGGGAGCAAACCGGAUUAGAUACCCGAGUAGUCC
rnacentral:rRNA from 1 species